rnacentral:rRNA from 1 species
UACGUAGGGAGCAAGCGUUGUCCGGAAUCAUUGGGCGUAAAGCGCGCGUAGGUGGCCCUGUAAGUCCGCUCUGAAAGUCGAAGGCUCAACCUUCGAAAGCGGGUGGAUACUGCAGGGCUAGAGUCCGGAAGAGGCGAGUGGAAUUCCUGGUGUAGCGGUGGAAUGCGCAGAUAUCAGGAGGAACACCGGUGGCGAAGGCGGCUUGCUGGGCCUUACCUGACGCUGAGGAGCGAAAGCGUGGGGAGCGAACAGG